rnacentral:lncRNA from 1 species
ACUUUUACCACUCUAGUUGAUUUGUUAUUUAAUUUCUUAAUUAUCAUAAUUCACUCUAUAUAAACGUUGAACUUUAUCGGACUUUAUAAAAGGAUUACGUUACCAAUCAAAAUGACCUAACUAAUACUCAUAUAUACAAUUAAUAUUUUUCUAAUUUACGACUUCUAAAUAUAUAUCACCUUUUUCACCAAACGUGAAUGUCAUUACACGUCGCUUUUG